rnacentral:rRNA from 1 species
UACGAAGGGCGCGGGCGUUAUUCGUUUUGAUUGGGCGUAAAGGGUACGUAGGCAGCUGAAGUAAUUUUUAACCAAAAACGCAGAGUAUUCCUAUGCGACGGUUUUUUAAAAAUUCAGCUUGAGGUAAAGAUGGGUUGGGGUAAUUUCUUGUGUAGAGGUAAAAUUCUACCAUAUAAGAACGAACACCAGUUAGCGGAGGCGCCUUUCUAGCUUUAUCUGACGCUAAGGUACGGAAGCCUAGGGAGCAAACAGA